rnacentral:rRNA from 1 species
UACGUAGGGUGCAAGCGUUAAUCGGAAUUACUGGGCGUAAAGCGUGCGCAGGCGGUUUUGUAAGUCUGACGUGAAAUCCCCGGGCUCAACCUGGGAAUUGCGUUGGAGACUGCAAGGCUAGAAUCUGGCAGAGGGGGGUAGAAUUCCACGUGUAGCAGUGAAAUGCGUAGAGAUGUGGAGGAACACCGAUGGCGAAGGCAGCCCCCUGGGUCAAGAUUGACGCUCAUGCACGAAAGCGUGGGGAGCAACCAGG